GAAAUGCGAUAAGUAAUGUGAAUUGCAGAAUUCAGUGAAUCAUAGAAUCUUUGAACGCACCUUGCGCUCCUUGGUAUUCCGAGGAGCAUGCCUGUUUGAGUGUCAUGGAAUUCUCAACUCUAUUUGCUUUUGUGAAUAGAGCUUGGAUUUGGAGGUUUAUUGCUGGUACUUGUGAUCGGCUCCUCUUGAAUGCAUUAGCUCGAACCUUUGCGGAUCAGCUAUCGGUGUGAUAAUUGUCUACGCCGUUGCAGUGAAGCAUAUCAAUGGGCUCGGCUUCCAAUCGUCCUUUACUGGACAAUGACUUUGACCUUUGACCUCAAAUCAGGUAGGAUUACCCGCUGAACUUAAGC
rnacentral:misc_RNA from 1 species